GACGAACGCUGGCGGCGUGCUUAACACAUGCAAGUCGAACGGAAAGGCCCUGCUUUUGUGGGGUGCUCGAGUGGCGAACGGGUGAGUAACACGUGAGUAACCUUCCCUUGACUUUGGGAUAACUUCAGGAAACUGGGGCUAAUACCGGAUAGGAGCUCCUGCUGCAUGGUGGGGGUUGGAAAGUUUCGGCGGUUGGGGAUGGACUCGCGGCUUAUCAGCUUGUUGGUGGGGUAGUGGCUUACCAAGGCUUUGACGGGUAGCCGGCAUGAGAGGGUGACCGGCCACAUUGGGACUGAGAUACGGCCCAGACUCCUACGGGAGGCAGCAGUGGGGAAUAUUGCACAAUGGGCGGAAGCCUGAUGCAGCAACGCCGCGUGCGGGAUGACGGCCUUCGGGUUGUAAACCGCUUUCGCCUGUGACGAAGCGUGAGUGACGGUAAUGGGUAAAGAAGCAACGGCUAACUACGUG
rnacentral:rRNA from 1 species